rnacentral:rRNA from 1 species
CCUACGGGAGGCAGCAGUGGGGAAUAUUGCACAAUGGGCGAAAGCCUGAUGCAGCAACGCCGCGUGAAGGAAGACGGUUUUCGGAUUGUAAACUUCUGUUCUUAGUGAAGAAUAAUGACGGUAACUAAGGAGCAAGCCACGGCUAACUACGUGCCAGCAGCUGCGGUAAUACGUAGGGGGCAAGCGUUAUCCGGAUUUACUGGGUGUAAAGGGAGCGUAGACGGCAUAGCAAGUCUGAAGUGAAAGCCCAAGGCUCAACCAUGGGACUGCUUUGGAAACUGUUAAGCUAGAGUGCUGGAGAGGUA